rnacentral:tRNA from 1 species
GGGCGUGUGGUCUAGUGGUAUGAUUCUCGCUUUGGGCAGCUUCCUGAUUUACCAAGAAGUAAAAGCAUGCGAGAGGCCCUGGGUUCAAUUCCCAGCUCGCCCC